rnacentral:piRNA from 1 species
CACCAGGGGGGUAGGGCCCAAAGGGA